AGUCGGAGCCCCGCCCCUUGAGAGGUAAUAGUGGACCGAACACAUAGGUCAACCUGUUCUUGCGGUACGAAGUGAAGAUCCCCAUUCGGUAGGGGUGAAGGCAGGACAGAUGACCAAAUAGAAUAUGCACUGGAGCUCAUCAUAUGAUCAGGGUUAUGCCUUUUUAUGGGUCAUGGGGAAACCAUACUGUUCGGGGUUUCUUCUUUCAAAGGCCCUUGAAGAGUAUAACUGACCUUGAGGCUUACAGAUUCAAUGCUGUUCCCAGCUGCUGAUGCUGUUUUGGAAAGUGGUGGGGCCUAGUCAGCAGACAUAAAUACUGGAGUGGCACUGAAGGAUGAGGGUGUUAUCCUGGUUUCUAGUUUGCUUCCUGAUCUUCUGAAAUGUGGGUCUCAGCUUCUUCUGGAAAGAUGAAAAGCAUGCAAAGGAAAGAGACUGUGGUUCAGCGGAACACAAAUAAUUCAAAGACAGCUGCAUCACCAAAGCCCACAAAGCUGGGAACCUUGGAGCACUCUGCACAGCUUGCAGCCUCCCUCAGCCUUGAAGCAGGUGAUUCAGACUUUGCUGCCACUGAAUAAGAGAUCACCUGGGGUGUAGCCUUCCUACUUAGAUGGCUAUAUUGUUAUGUCAACUACUGCUCCCCUUCUCUGAGACUCUGCUACCUGCUGAGAGACCCUUGAGACUUUCCGGAGACGCAUCCUAUUCUGCACGUCUACAGGCUGGUUCCAGGCACUAAGAAUGGAUUGGCAGGGGGGUAUGGCAGUAUCAGGGCUUCCAGUGAGUAGUGAUUGAGCUGUUAUUCUUCCUCUAGCCACUUGCCACAGGCAAAUAUUUGGAAAAACUGGUAUAUGAAGAAGGAAAGCCUCAGUA
rnacentral:lncRNA from 1 species